rnacentral:rRNA from 1 species
AGCAGCCGCGGUAAUUCCAGCUCCAAUAGCGUAUAUUAAAGUUGUUGCAGUUAAAAAGCCCGUAGUUGAAUUUCGGGGUCAGUAGGUUGGUCGUGCCACCGGUACGUACUGGUCUCACUGAUUCCUCCUUCCUGAAGAACCGUAAUGCCAUUAAUUUGGUGUCGCGGGGAAACAGGACUGUUACUUUGAAAAAAUUAGAGUGUUUAAAGCAGGCUAACGCUUGAAUACAUUAGCAUGGAAUAAUGAAAUAGGACGUUCGAUCUUAUUUUGUUGGUUUCUAAGAUUGACGUAAUGAUUAAUAGGGAUAGUUGGGGGCAUUAGUAUUCAAUUGUCAGAGGUGAAAUUCUUGGAUUUAUUGAAGACUAACUACUGCGAAAGCAUUUGCCAAGGAUGUUUUCAUUAAUCAAGAACGAAAGUUAGGGGAUCGAAGACGAUCAGAUACCGUCGUAGUCUUAACCAUAAACUAUGCCGACUAGGGAUCGGAUGAUGUUAAUUUUUUAAUGACUCAUUCGGCGCCUUA